UGACUGUAAAAAACGCUCUUAUGAACAGCCAGUGUUCCUCCUUGGUUAGUAUGUAGUUUAUUAGGAGACUCUUUUGAACUGUAUUAAACUAGCUGUCCCUUUGAAGUUCUAUAUAAAGACUACUGUAUUGUAGCAGGCUACUCUACUAACCCAUCCAUCCAAUGGCCUGUCAGUUCAGCACCCUUAUCCAUCCAAUGGCCUGUCAGCUCAGCACCCUCCAUCCAUCCAAUGGCCUGUCAGUUCAGCACCCUUAUCCAUCCAAUGGCCUGUCAGCUCAGCACCUCCAUCCAUCCAAUUGCUAGUCAGCUCAGCACCCUCAAUCCAUCCAAUGGCCUGUCAGCUCAGCACCCUCAUCCAUCCAAUGGCCUGUCAGCUCAGCACCCUCCAUCCAUCCAAUGGCCUGUCAGCUCAGCGCCUCCAUCCAUCCAAUGGCCUGUCAGUUCAGCACCUUCAUCCAUCCAAUGGCCUGUCAGCUCAGCACCCUCCAUCCAUCCAAUGGCCUGUCAGCUCAACACCCUCCAUCCAUCCAAUGGCCUGUCAGUUCAGCACCCUCCAUCCAUCCAAUGGCCUGUCAGCUCAGCACCUCCAUCCAUCCAAUGGCUUGUCAACUCAGCACCUCCAUCCAUCCAAUGGCCUGUCAGCUCAGCACCCUCAUCCAUCCAAUGGCUUGUCAACUCAGCACCCUCCAUCCAUCCAAUGGCCUGUCAGCUCAGCGCCUCCAUCCAUCCAAUGGCCUGUCAGCUCUGCACCCUCCAUCCAUCCAAUGGCCUGUCAGCUCAGCACCCUCAUCCAUCCAAUGGCCUGUCAGCUCAGCACCUCCAUCCAUCCAAUGGCUAGUCAGCUCAGCACCCUCAUCCAUCCAAUGGCUAGUCAGCUCAGCACCUCCAUCCAUCCAAUGGCCUGUCAGCUCAGCACCCUCAUCCAUCCAAUGGCCUGUCAGCUCAGCGCCUCCAUCCAUCCAAUGGCCUGUCAGCUCAGCACCCUCCAUCCAUCCAAUGGCCUGUCAGCUCAGCACCUCCAUCCAUCCAAUAGCCUGUCAGCUCAGCACCCUCCAUCCAUCCAAUGGCCUGUCAGCUCAGCGCCUCCAUCCAUCCAAUGGCCUGUCACCUCAGCACCCUUAUCCAUCCAAUGGCUUGUCAGCUCAGCAACCUCAUCCAUCCAAUGGCCUGUCAGCUCAGCGCCCUCCAUCCAUCCAAUAGCCUGUCAGCUCAGCACCCUCCAUCCAUCCAAUGGCCUGUCAGCUCAGCACCCUCCAUCCAUCCAAUGGCCUGUCAGCUCAGCACCCUCAUCCAUCCAAUGGCCUGUCAGCUCAGCACCUCCAUCCAUCCAAUGGCCUGUCAGCUCAGCACCUCCAUCCAUCCUGGUCUCAUAGACUAGACGUAACAUACUAGAGAGAAUUUGGCAAUACGACCAACUGGCCUCACAACUGCAGACCACAUGUAACCACGCCAGCCCAGGACCUCCACAUCCAGCUUCUUCACCUGCGGGAUCGUCUGAGACCAGCCACCCCGGACAGCUGAUGAAACUGUGGGUUUACGCAACUGAAGAAUUUCUGUCAGAAACAAUCUCAGGGAAGCUCAUCUACAUGCUCGUCAUCCUCACCAGGGUUUUGACCUGACAGCAGUUUGGCAUUGUAGGGUUAGUGCUUUGCUGAUGUCAACGUUGUGAACAGAAUGCCCCAUGGUUGGGUGGGGUUAUGGUAUGGGCAGGCAUAAGCUACGGACAACGAACACAAUUGCGUUUUAUCGAUGGCAAUUUGAAUGUACAGAGAUACCGUGGCGAAAUUCUAAGGCCCAUUGUUGUGCCAUUCAUCCACCACCAUCACCUCAUGUUUCAGCAUGAUAAUGUACGGACUCAUAUAGGAAGGAUCUGUACAUAAUUUAUGGAAGCUUAAAAUGUCCCAGUUCUUCCUGGCCUGCAUACUCACCAGACAUGUCACCCAUUGAGCAUGUUUGGGAUGCUCUGGAUCGACGUGUACGACAGCAUGUUCCAGUUCUCACCAAUGUCCAGCAUCUUCACACAGCCAUUGAAGAGGAGUGGGACAACAUUCCACAGGCCACAAUCAACAGCCUGAUCAACUCUAUGUGAAGGGGAUGUGUCGCGCUGCAUGAGGCAA
rnacentral:lncRNA from 1 species